rnacentral:tRNA from 1 species
CCGGGGCGGUGGACCGGCUCCGGCCGCCCGCCGCCCCGGCCGGCGGCGUUCCGGCGGGGGCGUCGAGCCGCGGGUCGCUACCGAGGCGCCGGCC